rnacentral:rRNA from 1 species
AAAUUGAAGAGUUUGAUCAUGGCUCAGAUUGAACGCUGGCGGCAGGCCUAACACAUGCAAGUCGAACGGUAACAGGAAGCAGUUUGCUGCUUCGCUGACGAGUGGCGGACGGGUGAGUAAUGUCUGGGAAACUGCCUGAUGGAGGGGGAUAACUACUGGAAACGGUAGCUAAUACCGCAUAACGUCGCAAGACCAAAGAGGGGGACCUUCGGGCCUCUUGCCAUCGGAUGUGCCCAGAUGGGAUUAGCUAGUAGGUG